UUAUUUAGAAGCUUGCUUCUAAAUAAUCUAGCGGCGGACGGGUGAGUAACACGUAGGCAACCUGCCCACAAGACAGGGAUAACUACCGGAAACGGUAGCUAAUACCCGAUAGAUCCUUAUCCUGCAUGGGAGAAGGAAGAAAGACGGAGCAAUCUGUCACUUGUGGAUGGGCCUGCGGCGCAUUAGCUAGUUGGUGGGGUAAAGGCCUACCAAGGCGACGAUGCGUAGCCGACCUGAGAGGGUGAUCGGCCACACUGGGACUGAGACACGGCCCAGACUCCUACGGGAGGCAGCAGUAGGGAAUCUUCCGCAAUGGGCGAAAGCCUGACGGAGCAACGCCGCGUGAGUGAUGAAGGUUUUCGGAUCGUAAAGCUCUGUUGCCAGGGAAGAACGCUUGAGAGAGUAACUGCUCUUGAGGUGACGGUACCUGAGAAGAAAGCCCCGGCUAACUACGUGCCAGCAGCCGCGGUAAUACGUAGGGGGCAAGCGUUGUCCGGAAUUAUUGGGCGUAAAGCGCGCGCAGGCGGCUCUUUAAGUCUGGUGUUUAAUCCCGAGGCUCAACUUCGGGUCGCACUGGAAACUGGGGAGCUUGAGUGCAGAA
rnacentral:rRNA from 1 species